rnacentral:rRNA from 1 species
ACGACUCUCGGCAACGGAUAUNNNGGCUCUCGCAUCGAUGAAGAACGUAGCGAAAUGCGAUACUUGGUGUGAAUUGCAGAAUCCCGUGAACCAUCGAGUCUUUGAACGCAAGUUGCGCCCGAAGCCGUCAGGCCAAGGGCACGUCUGCCUGGGUGUCACGCA